rnacentral:ribozyme from 1 species
UAACCAGCAACUCCUAUCCCUCCCUCCGCGUGGUACCGGCUGGAGACUACGAGCAACCUUAGGGAAGAUCGGGUAACCAACCCCGGAGGAACUUUGGUCAUAGGCUGACAGGGAAGG